CGGGGGAAGCGCUGCCGCCGCCGGUGCGAGGAGCGAAGUAGAGGCAGGAACUUCUCCUCCGGGAGCUGGGCGCGCCGCGGGGACAAAGUCCUCGGGGGCUGCGGCGCUCCGCACCCGCGGGCAGAUUGCCAACGCUAAGAAAACAGAGACUUCCAGCAAAAAAUUCUUCAGUUCAUGGAGCAACAAGGGCAGUGUUAGGAAUACAUCCCACCCUUGUGCUUCUGCUCCAAGAUGCAGUGAGAAGAAAGGCAUGCAGAGAGCAAAUAAUUAUGCAAGCCACUACCUGAGCACUCAACGCAUGUUAAUCUUCAGCUUUCUUGUUUUCACAACCACUACACAUCCCUCUCAUUCAUUUGUAGCCACUGUCGAUGAACCAUGACAGUAUUAAACAGUUAACACCUACAAUAAAUAUUUUAAGAAACUGUUACAGCGAAGAAAAAAACAGUUAUUGGAUCCAAAGCUAUUUUUCAUGCCUUGGCACAAAAGGAAUAAAGGAAUGUAACAGAAGCUGCUCCUGCUAGUCUGGGUGGGCAGAAGAACUUGAGGUCCAAGGAUGCGAGUGGGAGAGAGCCUACACAGAACCCAGGAUGAAAGCAUGGCCCAUCUGGCUGUCUCUAGGCAUCAGCUGGGAUGUCCUCUCCUGCUAGGCAAGAGUAUGAAAACAAAAAUCCUCAUGGGUUCCACUGCUCAGAGAAGACUGCUCAUUUAUUUCCUUGUAAAUUUAUAACUUUCGACUUCUAAGAUGCUGUUCUAGAGUUUGAUAAUGUAUCCAGACGUCAGAAGCCAAUCUGGUCUCCAGUUUUGCUCACAAGCCUGGAAGCUUAGAGAUGGUGGCAUGGACAAAGUUUUAUAAGACAUUGUUGAUGCAAACCAGGACAGGAAGCUGGCUGGGAUCAUGAUAUAUCACUUCUUCUCUUCCUUUUUUUUUUUUUUUUUUUUUUUUCUGUGUGUGUGUGUGUG
ensembl:lncRNA